ACAAUGAAACUGCCGAAUUCCCACGCACCCGGGAAGCGGGGGACCCACCAUAGGGUGAAUUGAUUUUCGCUAUAAAGGUAACAACUCCCAAACUAAUAACUACCAUUUCAAUCAAGGUUACUUACCUCUAUAGCAAAUCAUAGGGAACCUUCAACCGAAUCCAUAAGCUAACCUCGUAGGCCUUGGAAGGAGUAAGA
rnacentral:sRNA from 2 species